UUUUUUUUUUUUGCAUAUGCAGACCAUGAGUUCAUCAGUAGUAAGGAUUUCAGAGUUAUGCUUUUGCCCAAUGAAGAUAGGUAUGAAAUAUAAUCUUUUCUGCCUUUACUUAUCAUUCACCAAGGAGCUGUUCCCCUCUCCAUCUAGGCAUCUUAAAAAGUUCCAUUAUUUGAAAACUUAACUUCAAUAUUUGGCCUAGUCAAGCUCUUCUGAAGUUCUCCUGAGAUGACUGAAUAUGAACCAAAGCUGCACUGUGCUGUAUAUUUCAGCUUCACUGGGAAUACUCCAAGGAAAAAAGCAGCUCCAAUCCCUGAAGGUGUUUGGUGCCAACAGCAUAGCAGUACAAUCCUUCUCUAACUCAGUUUGUCAAUAGUACUAUAGCAUCUGUGGAAAGUCUUAGAAAAAAACAUUUUCUCCCCCACCCUCUUCCCUGUUAAGACCACCCCAAAAUACUUCAAGUAAAAAUAACCGGUUACAUACUUUAAUUACAAAAAAAAAUCUGAUUAAGGGGUGGAAAAAGUACCAGCCAUUUCUCCACUGGAGUUCCAUCACAGACCUUAAGUGAGAGCUGCUCGUGUUCUAGUUUCUACAAACUGUAAACCUGUGGUGUUCUGAUUAUCCUGAUACUGGAUUUUCUUUUUUCCUGUUACCUUGAGUCAUUUGCCUUUGGAAUUCUAGACAGACCUAAGGGGAAAAGAACUCAAAACAUAUUUUGCCCCCCCAAAACCUUUACCCCCCCGAAUUACACACCCAACUAUAUAUAUAUAGGUAACUUAGAAUAGAGAAUGAGAAAGAAAAUUAAGUCAUCUACUCACAAAACGGAAAUGCUUCAUUACCAAGCUAAAUAUAAAACCUGCUUACAAAGCUGGCUGAAACUGUCUCAAGGUUGUUCUAUCAAAUUCAUUUGUUUUCCCUCAUAUUGGUUAAAAACGAAAACACUUGCCAUCUACUAUUCCUCCGGGCCUUGGUAGUCUGCCCUCAAAAGCUUCAGACAAGAUGAGAAAAUACGCCUGAAAAAGAGAAACCUACAACACCCGAAAAUCGGCCUACAUCCCCAUAAAACCCUUUAUGCUUAAGUACACAGCUCCCCCAUCACCAUUAGGAAAUACAACAAAGAUUACCGUACUGUUACCAAAAAAAGGUGAAGAAACAAAGCAGAACCCACGAUACUGCCGACCUCACGGAUUUUUACCACACCACUGGCUCUCCCUGCCGGCCUUGCACACUGGGCUGCCGCUCUAGGACGCUCUAUCUAGCCUCCACACCGCCUGCUCGCCUCCUCCGCGGGGUUGCCAAGCCACGCCGCCAAGCCGCACGCUAGCUUCAUCACCACAUCGCACUGGCUUCCUCCUUCCUGGAAUCCUCUCCUAGCUUCACCUCCAACCGUUAGGGCUCCUUCCUUCUUCCUAGCUUCCUUCACCAAAUCGCACUGGCUCCCGGGCUCCUCCUUCCUAUCUUCACGAACUGCCGCUCGCUCCUCAGUCCUAGUUUCACCAAAAACUGGCUCCUGGAAUCCUGUCUGCUGCUGUCUUCCUAGGUUCUCUGAAUCCACUUCUGUGUAGCACCUGGUCAGCUGUUAAUUAGCGCCUAGUCCUCAGGGUUUAGAAAUUCAUCUUAGCUCAAAGUCCAAUGCAAAAAAUGUUAACUUGGUUAUCCUCGCUCUUGAAUUUAUCGUCCUUUAAGUUUUCCAGAAGAAACUAAACUACUGUAUGGAUUUAAGGCCUUUCAAAUUUUUAACUCUUCCGUCUACCUUAAUUUUUACAUCAGUCUUUUUAGUAGCUUUUUGCUGUGAUUUUAAAUUUACUUCCCUCUACAGCUUCGAGAUAUUCUUCUAAGUUGGUCUUGGUCUACUGUAGUUUAAAACCCUCUUCUCAGAUCUAACUUCUGCACCACCACAAAUUAAAGUUGAUGGGCUUUUUAAAUAAAUUGAACUAUUAAAAACUAUUUUUCUUAGUUUUGCGUCUUGUACUUAUCCAAUUUUUUGGCUUCGGACUUUUCUAUCUUCCAAUUACUUGGACCUCUAUCUUGUAUGCUUGUCUCCAACAGCUUGUUUCUCAUUUUCUACCUCAAACACUCGAACAUCUUUUCAACCUUCUCUUUCUAGAUGUCUUCUGCCUCCUACCUUCUGGGCUUAGUUUUUUUCUGUCUUCUAAAAGCCGUAUUUUUUAUCUUCUAGUUUUCCUAUCUUCACUAAUCUUUUCUUCACCUUCCUGUACUUGUCUUCCGAGUUUUCCACUUCAAAUUUCUAAUCUUCUUUCUCCACUAAUACUUCCAUCAACUUCCAAAGAAAGCCUUAAGGCUUCAAAUGACGCAGUUUUGAUCGCGCCGUGAAUUUGAAGGCAUUUCUUAAAUCACCUUCAACUGACCUUUAAAGAUGGCUUUUAGAACAUUUUAAUCCAUCUACGACUGGACUUUAAAAGUAUUGUUUAGGUUCUAUUUAUAGCAUUACGUUUGAACAAUAAUCUAAAAAGCUGCCCUUCAAUUUAAGACUUUAAAAUUCCAUACUUUGCAGUCCUGUCUCGGCAACUCCUUUUAAAAUUAGCUUUCUCACUCCAUGAAGAAGCUUCAGCUCUUAACCUCCGUCAUGUUCUAAUAUUAUCUUUUUUCUUCUUUCUUCCUUUCUCAUACUAUUUUUUAAGGACGUCUCCAUUUUCCCCUAAAAUAAGACCUUCUUAUUAAUUAUCAAAUCUACUCUCACGAAUUUAACUCAAAACUACAGCUCAGUAUUUUCGCUAAUUUAUAAUUCCUAGAGAAUAAGAGUAAUCCCUAUCUUAACAGAAAAACUUAUCUGCGGUCUCCUCAAGAAGCGUUUCCUGCCUCUCAGCCGU
rnacentral:lncRNA from 1 species